rnacentral:rRNA from 1 species
AGUGAACGCUGGCGGUAGGCCUAACACAUGCAAGUCGAACGGCAGCACAGUAAGAGCUUGCUCUUACGGGUGGCGAGUGGCGGACGGGUGAGGAAUACAUCGGAAUCUACUUUUUCGUGGGGGAUAACGUAGGGAAACUUACGCUAAUACCGCAUACGACCUACGGGUGAAAGCAGGGGUUCUUCGGACCUUGCGCGAUUGAACGAGCCGAUGUCGGAUUAGCUAGUUGGCGGGGUAAAGGCCCACCAAGGCGACGAUCCGUAGCUGGUCUGAGAGGAUGAUCAGCCACACUGGAACUGAGACACGGUCCAGACUCCUACGGGAGGCAGCAGUGGGGAAUAUUGGACAAUGGGCGCAAGCCUGAUCCAGCCAUACCGCGUGGGUGAAGAAGGCCUUCGGGUUGUAAAGCCCUUUUGUUGGGAAAGAAAAGCAGCAGGUUAAUACCCCGCUGUUCUGACGGUACCCAAAGAAUAAGCACCGGCUAACUUCGUG